CUUGCCCGCAGCGAAGACACGCACCUGUGAGCCGCACAUCCGUCAAACGUACCUGCAGGACGGGCGCGCUGUGGCCUCCGCACCAGUAAGGGGCAGCAGAGCACGUGGGUUUGCAGCAUGGAGCUAAUCCGUGUUCCACACUGACCCACGAGGCUUGUCUGCUCAUCACAUCUGGGCGUCAGGCCCCGCUGAGACCGAGAUGAUUGCAUCAGCCAGGACCUGCUCCUGCAGCCCGCUCCACCUGCUGGGUUGAUCCUUGAACAGCCAGCACCCCCAGCAUCCCCCCGCCCUUUGUGAUCUUACCA
rnacentral:lncRNA from 1 species